rnacentral:lncRNA from 1 species
GCUUAUUCCUUCUAGGCCAGGUUGAAAGGCUUUUAAAAGCAGGUGGUGGUGCCAGGGUAAUGGGAAAAACAAGAAAAGACACUGCUUUUUUACCCCAUGCGAGGCAGAGCUGAUCUCCUUUCUGCAGGUGUUGAGGGGAGUUGAGGAGGAGCCCAGAGCUGGUACAGGCCCCGUUUAACGUGUCCCCGCAGAGUGAGGGCUGGGGGUCACCCCAUAGGCAGGGGAGCCCUUCUGCAGGGAAGGAACCAAAGGGAUGUAUGGCCCACGCCUGGGUUUGAAUCCCAGUUCUGGCCUUCAUUCCUCCAGGCCUCCAUUUCCUUGUCUGCACUAUGGGGCCAUGGUGAGAACUCUGAAAUAACACCAACUGCCUGGUGCUUGGUCCUGCACCCAGGCUGGUAUGAAAAAGAUGCCCAGAAGGUCCCAUGCAUCACCAGCCUGGAGGUAGCAGCAGAAGGGAAA